rnacentral:rRNA from 1 species
UAGUAUUAAAUGGCCGCGGUAUUUUGACCGUGCAAAGGUAGCAUAAUCGUUAGUUUUUUAAUUGGAAUCUUGUAUGAAUGGUUGGACAAAAGAAAGUCUGUCUUUACACUGUUUACUGAAUUUAACUUUUAAGUGAAAAGGCUUAAAUAAAUUAAAGGGACGAUAAGACCCUAUAAAGCUUAAUAUUAAAAUUUUAUUUGGUUGAAUUUUUAAUUAUAAGAACUUAGUAACUAAAUUUAUUUUAUUGGGGUGAUAAGAGUAAAAUGAUUAUUAACUGCUUAAUCUCAAAUACACUUAUAGGUGAUUAAAUUUUUAAAUGAUCCUAAUUAAAGAUUAAAAGUUCAAGUUACUUUAGGGAUAACAGCGUUAUUUUUCUUAAGAGUACUUAUCGAAAGAAAAGUUUGCGACCUCGAUGUUGAAUUAAAAUGUCUUUAUAAUUGCAGCAGUUAUAAGAGUGGGUCUGUUCGACCUUUAAAAUUUUA